rnacentral:rRNA from 1 species
AUUGAACGCUGGCGGCAUGCUUUACACAUGCAAGUCGAACGGCAGCGCGGGCUUCGGCCUGGCGGCGAGUGGCGAACGGGUGAGUAAUACAUCGGAACGUGCCCAGUAGUGGGGGAUAGCUCGGCGAAAGCCGGAUUAAUACCGCAUACGACCUGAGGGUGAAAGCGGGGGAUCUUCGGACCUCGCGCUAUUGGAGCGGCCGAUGGCAGAUUAGCUUGUUGGUGGGGUAAAGGCCUACCAAGGCGACGAUCUGUAGCUGGUCUGAGAGGACGACCAGCCACACUGGGACUGAGACACGGCCCAGACUCCUACGGGAGGCAGCAGUGGGGAAUUUUGGACAAUGGGCGCAAGCCUGAUCCAGCAAUGCCGCGUGUGUGAUGAAGGCCUUCGGGUUGUAAAGCACUUUUGGCGGGAACGAAAAGGACUGUGCCAAUACCACGGUUCGAUGACGGUACCCGCAGAAUAAGCACCGGCUAACUACGUGCCAGCAGCCGCGGUAAUACGUAGGGUGCGAGCGUUAAU